UGGAGGGCAAGUCUGGUGCCAGCAGCCGCGGUAAUUCCAGCUCCAAUAGCGUAUAUUAAAGUUGUUGCAGUUAAAAAGCUCGUAGUUGAAUUUCGGGGUUAGUAGGUUGGUCGUGCCUCAGGUAUGUACUGAUCUCACUGAUUCCUCCUUCCUGAUGAACCGUAAUGCCAUUAAUUUGGUGUUGCGGGGAAACUGGACUGUUACUUUGAAAAAAUUAGAGUGUUUAAAGCAGGCUAACGCUUGAAUACAUUAGCAUGGAAUAAUAAAAUAGGACGGUGGUCCUGUUUUGUUGGUUUCUGAAUCACCGUAAUGAUUAAUAGGGAUAGUUGGGGGCAUUAGUAUUCAAUUGUCAGAGGUGAAAUUCUUGGAUUUAUUGAAGACUAACUACUGCGAAAGCAUUUGCCAAGGAUGUUUUCAUUAAUCAAGAACGAAAGUUAGGGGAUCGAAGACGAUCAGAUACCGUCGUAGUCUUAACCAUAAACUAUGCCGACUAGGGAUCGGAUGAUGUUAAUUUCUUAAUGACUCAUUCGGCGCCUUACGGGAAACCAAAGUGUUUGGGUUC
rnacentral:rRNA from 1 species